rnacentral:misc_RNA from 1 species
UGGUUAUAUAUGUUUAUAUGUGAAGACGUAGUUGCAAACUCUUUGAUGACUUCUUUUUAUAGAGGUGUGAACUAAAGCAAAUUUUUGUAUCGCUACUAAACUAUCUUUGUAACUUUAAAUUUUUUUUUUAAAAAAAAAAAAAAAAAAAAAAAAAAACACUGUGUGAUAUAUGUGACAUGAAAUCUAGGGGAUUGACGGGGAGAAAGGAUCAUUUGAAGAUGGG